rnacentral:rRNA from 1 species
GAUGAACGCUGGCGGCGUGCCUAAUACAUGCAAGUCGAGCGAACAGAUAAGGAGCUUGCUCCUUUGACGUUAGCGGCGGACGGGUGAGUAACACGUGGGUAACCUACCUAUAAGACUGGGAUAACUUCGGGAAACCGGAGCUAAUACCGGAUAAUAUUUCGAACCGCAUGGUUCGAUAGUGAAAGAUGGUUUUGCUAUCACUUAUAGAUGGACCCGCGCCGUAUUAGCUAGUUGGUAAGGUAACGGCUUACCAAGGCGACGAUACGUAGCCGACCUGAGAGGGUGAUCGGCCACACUGGAACUGAGACACGGUCCAGACUCCUACGGGAGGCAGCAGUAGGGAAUCUUCCGCAAUGGGCGAAAGCCUGACGGAACAACGCCGCGUGAGUGAUGAAGGUCUUCGGAUCGUAAAACUCUGUUAUUAGGGAAGAACAUACGUGUAAGUAACUGUGCACGUCUUGACGGUACCUAAUCAGAAAGCCACGGCUAACUACGUG